rnacentral:rRNA from 1 species
ACGCUCGACACCUACGAGAGGCAGCAGUGGGGAAUAUUGCACAAUGGGGGAAACCCUGAUGCAGCGACGCCGCGUGAGCGAAGAAGUAUUUCGGUAUGUAAAGCUCUAUCAGCAGGGAAGAAACUGACGGUACCUGACUAAGAAGCACCGGCUAAAUACGUGCCGCAGCCGCGGUAAUCUGAGCGGGCUGGCAAGGC